GUCCACGCCCUAAACGAUGUCAACUAGGUGUUGGGAGCGCAAGUUCUCAGUACCGCAGCUAACGCGUGAAGUUGACCGCCUGGGGAGUACGGUCGCAAGAUUAAAACUCAAAGGAAUUGACGGGGACCAGCACAAGCGGUGGAUGAUGUGGAUUAAUUCGAUGCAACGCGAACAACCUUACCUACCCUUGACAUGUCUGGAAGGCUGCUGAAAGGCGGCUGUGCCCGAAAGGGAACCGGAACACAGGUGCUGCAUGGCUGUCGU
rnacentral:rRNA from 1 species